rnacentral:rRNA from 1 species
CCCCAGACUCCUACGGGAGGCAGCAGUUAGGAAUAUUCGUCAAUGGGGGAAACCCUGAACGAGCAAUGCCGCGUGAACGAUGACGGUCCUCUGGAUUGUAAAGUUCUGUUGUUUGGGAAGAACGGCUCUAAUAGGAAAUGAUUAGAGAUUGACUGUACCAUUCAAGAAAGCCACGGCUAACUACGUGCCAGCAGCCGCGGUAAUACGUAGGGUGCGAGCGUUAAUCGGAAUUACUGGGCGUAAAGGGUGUGCAGGCGGCUGAGUAAGACAGAUGUGAAAUCCCCGGGCUUAACCUGGGAACCGCAUAUGUGACUGCUUGGCUAGAGUGCGUCAGAGGGAGGUGGAAUUCCACGUGUAGCAGUGAAAUGCGUAGAUAUGUGGAAGAACACCGAUGGCGAAGGCAGCCUCCUGGGACGCAACUGACGCUCAUACACGAAAGCGUGGGGAGCAAGCAGGAUUAGAUACCCCGGUA